rnacentral:rRNA from 1 species
GGGUCCGGCAGUCGACGAUUCCUACGGGAGGCAGCAGUAGGGAAUCAUCCGCAAUGGGCGAAAGCCUGACGGUGCAACGCCGCGUAAGUGAUGAAGGUUUUCGGAUCGUAAAGCUCUGUUGACAGGGAAGAACCCACGUCAGUCGAACAGGCUGGCGUGCUGACGGUACCUGUCCAGAAAGCCCCGGCUAACUACGUGCCAGCAGCCGCGGUAAUACGUAGGGGGCAAGCGUUGUCCGGAAUUAUUGGGCGUAAAGGGCACGCAGGCGGUUUCGUCAGUCCGAUGUGACAGGCCACGGCUCAACCGUGGAAGGCCAUUGGAAACUGCGAAACUUGAGGACAGAAGAGGAGAGUGGAAUUCCACGUGUAGCGGUGAAAUGCGUAGAUAUGUGGAGGAACACCAGUGGCGAAGGCGACUCUCUGGUCUGUACCUGACGCUGAGGUGCGAAAGCAUGGGGAGCAAACAGGAUUAGAUACCCUGGUAGUCCAUGCCGUAAACGCUGAGUGCUAGGUGUUAGGGGUUUCGAUACCCGUAGUGCCGAAGCUAACGCAUUAAGCACUCCGCCUGGGGAGUACGACCGCAAGGUUGAAACUCAAAGGAAUUGACGG